AACGAACGCUGGCGGCAGGCUUAACACAUGCAAGUCGAACGCCCCGCAAGGGGAGUGGCAGACGGGUGAGUAACGCGUGGGCAACCUGCCUUCCACUGGGGGAUAACACAGGGAAACCUGUGCUAAUACCGCAUGACAUCACAUAGGGCAUCCUGUGUGAUCAAAGGAGUGAUCCGGUGGAAGAUGGGCCCGGUCCCAUCAGCUAGUUGGUAGGGUAGAGGCCUACCAAGGCGACGAUCAGUAGGGGGCGUGAGAGCGUGAACCCCACACGGGUACUGAGACACGGACCCGACUCCUACGGGAGGCAGCAGUAAGGAAUAUUGGUCAAUGGAGGGAACUCUGAACCAGCCAUGCCGCGUGAAGGAAGAAGGCGCUACGCGUUGUAAACUUCUUUUGGGUGGACGAAAAUAAUCCAUUUAUGGAUAGCUGACGGUACCAUCAGAAUAAGCACCGGCUAACUCCGUGCCAGCAGCCGCGGUAAGGGUAGUACA
rnacentral:rRNA from 1 species